rnacentral:sRNA from 1 species
CAGACAGACCGAGGGGCGGAUGCAGCCUACCUCCUGGGCAGGGAGCUGCGGUCUGAGGCCCCUGCCCAGCUGGAAACCACAGGGAGGGGAAGGGAGGGGAGGGGAGGAGAGGAGAGGAGAGGAACCGUCAUGGGGCCUUGGAGUCGAGUCAGGGUUGCCAAAUGCCAGAUGCUGGUCACCUGCUUCUUUAUCUUGGUAACAGCUGCUGGGCCUCUCUGAGGCCACCAUAGUGACUCUUACCUACUUCGGGGCCCACUUUGCUGUCAUCCGCCAAGCGUCCCUGGAGAAGAACCCAUCCCAGGCUAUGCACCAAUGGGCCUUCUCUGCGGGGUUGAGCCUGGUGGGCCUCCUGACUCUGGGAGCUGUGCUGAGCGCUGCAGCCACCGUGAGGGAGGCCCAGGGCCUCAUGGCGGGGGGCUUCCUGUGCUUCUCCCUGGCGUUCUGCGCACAGGUGCAGGUGGUGUUCUGGAGACUCCACAGCCCCACCCAGGUGGAGGAUGCCAUGCUGGACACCUACGACCUGGUAUAUGAGCAGGCGAUGAAAGGCACAUCCCACGUCUGGCGGCAGGAGCUGGCGGCCAUCCAGGACGUGUUUCUGUGCUGUGGGAAGAGGUCUCCUUUCAGCCGUCUGGGGAACACAGAGGCUGACCUGUGUCAGGGAGAGGAGACGGCAAGAGAGGACUGCCUUCAGGGCAUCCGGAGCUUCCUGAGGACAUACCAGCAGGUCACCUCCAGCCUGACCAGCAUCGGCCUGGCCCUCACGGUACCCUCUCGCCUCCCUCACCGCCCCUUCCCACCUCCUACCCCUCAGCGUGCCCAGCCCCUGACUCAGAUGGAAGGGUGACCUGGGACAGGAUUUCUGGUCUUGGGCCUCACUGGCUGCCAACCUCAGGGAGCUGGUCUGGUGUGACAGUGCCUGCCUCCUACAGCUGGGCCGCCCCCUUACACUGCAGAGUCCUGAUGCUUCCUGGGGAUGGGCGCCCCCACCCAGGAGUAGGGGGGCAGCCGCGGGUGUCUCCCUCCCAGGUGUCCGCCUUGCUCCUCAGCUCCUUCCUGUGGUUUGCCAUCCGCUCUGGCUGCUGCUUGGACCGCAAGGGCAAAUACACCCUGGCCCCACGCAUGUGGCCACCAGCCCCAGGAGCCCAGCCUCUUCAGACGCUCCCAGGGUGGACCCGCACAUUGUCUCCGCUCCGAAGCAGAUGCUAUUGGUCCAAGAGGAUGCUCGGGUAGUCUUCGGUGGCUGCAGGAGAGCGAUGCUGCGCCUCUGCCCCUCUCCUGCCACCUGCCUGCCCACAGAGCUCUCCAGGGGAGAAGUCCCGGUGGGCUCAGCGGGUGCCCUGCGCGGGGUCUCUCAGACUGACGUCAGGCCUUGGUGGGCUGUACUCUCAUCUGGAAGCUCCGCGGAAGCAUCUGCCUCCAGGACCAUUCAGGCUGUUGACAAGUCAACUCCUCAUGGCUGUAGGACUGAUGUUCCCAUAGUCCUUGUCCCUGCUCCUGUGGCCCCUCCACCUUCAAACCAGCGAUGGUGCAUUGAGCAAAUCGUGGUCAAAUAUACAUCACAUAAAAUUUACCAUCUUAA